rnacentral:rRNA from 1 species
AUGCCGGCGGACACGACGGUGACCCGAUCGCCGGAGAAAUCCAAGACGACGGGCGGCAGCGACGACGUAGAAGAGGAGGAGACUCACGAGAGGGAGGCCAAGAAGAUGAAGACCAAUCCAGCGUCGGUGGAAGCCGCCGCCAGGGACGACGAUGGGGACGAGGAGUUGGAGAUCUCGUCUCCGCUCUGCGAGCCCUACAUCCCCGACGAGCUGGACGACCCCUACGGCCUACCGCUACCGGGGGAUAUCCGCCGCCUACGAGCUCGCGAGAGCCGAAUUCUCUGA